rnacentral:tRNA from 1 species
GGUGCUGUCGUCUAGUGGCCUAAGACGCCCGCCGAUUAUGUCGGUUUGUGAAAGCGGGAAACUGAGGUUCGAACCCUCACGGCACCACCA